UACGGAGGGCGCAAGCGUUGUUCGGAAUCACUGGGCGUAAAGCGCGUGUAGGCGGCUUGGCAAGUCGGGUGUGAAAGCCCGGGGUCUAACCCCGGAACUGCAUUCGAAACUGCCUCGCUCGAGUCCCGGAGAGGAUGGUGGAAUUCCCGGUGUAGUGGUGAAAUACGUAGAUAUCGGGAGGAACACCAGCGGCGAAGGCGGCCAUCUGGACGGUGACUGACGCUGAGACUCGAAAGCGUGGGGAGCAAACAGU
rnacentral:rRNA from 1 species